rnacentral:rRNA from 1 species
AAUAUUGCGCAAUGGAGGAAACUCUGACGCAGCGACGCCGCGUGAGCGAUGAAGGUCUUCGGAUCGUAAAGUUCUGUCCUUGGGGAAGAUAAUGACGGUACCCAAGGAGGAAGCACCGGCCAACUACGUGCCAGCAGCCGCGGUAAUAAGUAGGGGGCGAGCGUUUUCCGGAAUUAUUGGGCGUAAAGGGUUCGUAGGCGGUCUUUUAAGUCAGAUGUGAAAGGUCACGGCUCAACCGUGGUAAGCAUUUUAAACUGAAAGACUUGAGUUAAGGAGAGGAAAGUGGAAUUCCUAGUGUAGCGGUGAAAUGCGUAGAUAUUAGGAGGAAUACCAGUGGCGAAGGCGACUUUCUGGACUUAUACUGACGCUGAGGAACGAAAGCGUGGGGAGCAAAC